UACGGAAUAAUUAGAUUUUUAAAGACUAGCCUUGUAAGGGUGAGGGAAUAAUAAAACUGUGAUGUUUUAAGUUUACCAAAAUAUUGAUAGUUUGGGACAAGCAGGAGUAGUAGGUUAUCAGUGAAACUCGUAGUAAGAGCUAAAGGGGUAGUACCGUGAGGGAAAGUUGAAAUAUCGUGAAAUAUCUAAGAGUAGGAAAGAAAGAGUAAAGCCCUGUACCUUUUGUAUGAUGGUUCGGUGAGUAUUUUGGUAAAGAGUUGCCGUACCCGAAUUUGAGCGAGCUAGUGUACUCUCCUAGUGAGGAGAAGGCUUUUACUGUUGCAAUAGUAAGGUUUGAGGGUACAUUAGAUGUGAAAUGUUUAUCGUGCUCAACGAUAGCUGGUUUCCCCGGAAAUUGGUGUUAGCCAUGUUUGUUUGGCUAUUAAGGUUGUGUUAUCACGUGGAUAAUGAUUAAAUCCUUAAUGGGAAUUCAAAGCGUAGACAAGGAGGGAUAAGCUUUCUUGUCAAGGAGGUAAAAGCCUGAGCCAUGGGUUAAAAAUGCGCAGGGAAACACGUUAAUUGGGUCUCGAUUAGUGGUAGGAUUAAUGGCAUCUAUCCGAACGAGGGCGUUAAAGCUUGUUUUAUGUAGCCCGUGGCGUGUAGACGGAUUUUUGUAAGGCGGGUUUUAUGUUGUGACUAUUUUACGGGGGAGUCCUGCGGGGUUGCAGGAGUUAUAAUGCUGGAAUUAGUAAAGAAGUAGAGUAGGCCUUUUGUGUAUUAAGCAGUCCUAAUUUUUGAUGGAAAGAAGUAUAUAUGUGCGGGAAAGCAUAGUUCGCUUUUGUCUGUCUGCUAACUCAAGCGGCCUGGUAAGAAUUAGAGAGAUGAGGGGAAGGAACUCGGCAAAUGUGGGGACUUCGCCUGUUUACCAAAAACAUCGCCCUUUGUAAAGUUUUCUUAUGUAUAAAGGGUCCUGCCUGCCCGGUGACUUAGUUAAACGGCCGCGGUAUCUUGACCGUGCGAAGGUAGCAUAAUCAUUUGCCCUUUGAAUGGGGGCUGGUAUGAAUGGCAAGACGGAGGUUCAGCUGUCUCCCUCCCAGAUCUUGAAUUUGAUAUCCUCGUGAAGAAGCGGGGGUGUAAUCGUGGGACGAGAAGACCCUAUCGAGCUUUAGUUAGUUGCACAAGUUGGUUUGGUCGCCUAGGGGCUAAUUUUCUUUUUUAAAGGGGGUGAGUUUACCGUUUAGGCGGCUUGGUUAUGUGCUUGUAGCUUUAGUUGGGGCAACUGCGGAGAAUAGUUAUCCUCCGUUUAUUAAGCAUUUGGUGAAGUGCCAACUUCCAUGCAGGUGUUGCUUUUUCGGGGAUCCGCCGGUAAAGGGCGAUUAGAGGAAUAAGUUACCGUAGGGAUAACAGCGUAAUUUUCUUGGAGAGUUCUUAUUGAUAAGGAAGUUUGCGACCUCGAUGUUGGAUCGGGAUUACCUAGGGGUGCAGCAGCUCCUGAGGGUUGGUCUGUUCGACCAUUAAAAUCCUACGUGAUCUGAGUUCAGACCGGCGUGAGCCAGGUCAGUUUCUAUCU
rnacentral:rRNA from 1 species